GAGUUUGAUCCUGGCUCAGGAUGAACGCUAGCGGCAGGCCUAAUACAUGCAAGUCGAGGGGUAGUGGAGCUUGCUCCAUGAGACCGGCGCACGGGUGCGUAACGCGUAUGCAACCUACCUUCAUCAGGGGGAUAGCCCGAAGAAAUUCGGAUUAACACCGCAUAAAAUCACAGUAUCGCAUGGUACAAUGAUCAAAUAUUUAUAGGAUGGAGAUGGGCAUGCGUGUCAUUAGUUAGUUGGCGGGGUAACGGCCCACCAAGACCGCGAUGACUAGGGGAUCUGAGAGGAUGACCCCCCACACUGGUACUGAGACACGGACCAGACUCCUACGGGAGGCAGCAGUAAGGAAUAUUGGUCAAUGGAGGCAACUCUGAACCAGCCAUGCCGCGUGCAGGAAGACAGCCCUCUGGGUCGUAAACUGCUUUUAUUCGGGAAUAAACCUACUUACGUGUAAGUAGCUGAAUGUACCGAAGGAAUAAGGAUCGGCUAACUCCGUGCCAGCAGCCGCGGUAAUACGGAGGAUCCAAGCGUUAUCCGGAUUUAUUGGGUUUAAAGGGUGCGUAGGCGGCCUGUUAAGUCAGGGGUGAAAGACGGUAGCUCAACUAUCGCAGUGCCCUUGAUACUGAUGGGCUUGAAUACACUAGAGGUAGGCGGAAUGUGACAAGUAGCGGUGAAAUGCAUAGAUAUGUCACAGAACACCGAUUGCGAAGGCAGCUUACUAUGGUGUCAUUGACGCUGAGGCACGAAAGCGUGGGGAUCAAACAGGAUUAGAUACCCUGGUAGUCCACGCCCUAAACGAUGAAUACUCGCUGUUAGCGAUAUACAGUUAGCGGCUAAGCGAAAGCGUUAAGUAUUCCACCUGGGGAGUACGCCCGCAAGGGUGAAACUCAAAGGAAUUGACGGGGGCCCGCACAAGCGGAGGAGCAUGUGGUUUAAUUCGAUGAUACGCGAGGAACCUUACCCGGGGCUUGAAAGUUAGUGAAUUAUCCAGAAAUGGAUAAGUGAGCAAUC
rnacentral:rRNA from 1 species